rnacentral:tRNA from 4 species
GGAGAGAUGGUUGAGUGGUCGAAGGCGCCACAUUGGAAAUGUGGUGUACCGCAAGGUACCGAGGGUUCGAAUCCCUCUCUCUCCGCCA